rnacentral:misc_RNA from 1 species
AUAACCUUAGUCGUUCAGUAAUACAAGCUCCUGAAUUUCAAUCUGUUUGUUGUUUCGUAAUACUGCAAAUUAGAAGCUUUAGACUAGGCUAAUUCUUCAUAACUGAGGCAAAAACUAGCGGCAAAACACAAAAAGAAUCAUCACAGACCCUUUUUAGUAGGAAUUAGAGAUAAACUUCACCUCUUAUUGCCAAAUGCUUGAGCAUGACUUUUGGCAAGAAUAACCAUCAGAGCACCAAUUCCAGCAGCCAUCCCAGCUCCAAAGCAGAAAGAAGGCAUGUGAACAAAUGAUCUUCCUUUGUUUUGCAUGAGUUCCCAAUGCAGUUGAACAUCAUCUGCGUGCCAUAAGCUCAUGUGUACAGCCAGUGUCAUUUUCAGAUCAGAA